rnacentral:rRNA from 1 species
UACGAAGGGGGCUAGCGUUGUUCGGAAUUACUGGGCGUAAAGGGCGCGCAGGCGGCCCUCCAAGUCAGGCGUGAAAGCCCCGGGCUCAACCCGGGAACAGCGCUUGAGACUGGGGGGCUUGAGUUCGGGAGAGGAGAGUGGAAUUCCCAGUGUAGAGGUGAAAUUCGUAGAUAUUGGGAAGAACACCGGUGGCGAAGGCGGCUCUUUGGACCGACACUGACGCUGAGGCGCGAAAGCGUGGGGAGCAAACAGG